UACGGGGGGGGCAAGCGUGGUUCGGAAUUACUGGGCGUAAAGGGUUCGUAGGUGGCCCGCUAAGUCACACGUGAAAUCCCUCAGCUUAACUGGGGAACUGCGUGUGAGACUGGCAGGCUUGAGUGCAGGAGAGGAACGCGGAAUUCCAGGUGUAGCGGUGAAAUGCGUAGAUAUCUGGAGGAACACCGGUGGCGAAGGCGGCGUUCUGGACUGUAUCUGACACUGAGGAACGAAAGCCAGGGGAGCAAACGGG
rnacentral:rRNA from 1 species